GUAGGAGACUUUGAAGUCGGAACGCUAGUUUCGAUUGAGUCACCCUUGAGAUACUACCUCUGUUGUAUGAACGUUCUAACUCUGAUCAGUUAUCCUGAUCGAAGACAGUGUCUGGCAGGCAGUUUGACUGGGGCGGUCGCCUCCUAAAAGAUAACGGAGGCGCUCAAAGGUUUGCUCAGAAUGGUUGGAAAUCAUUCGUAGCGUGUAAAGGCAUAAGCAAGCUUGACUGUGAGACUGACAAGUCGAGCAGGUACGAAAGUAGGACUUAGUGAUCCGGUGGUUCCGUAUGGAAGGGCCAUCGCUCAACGGACAAAAGCUACCCCGGGGAUAACAGGCUCAUCUCCCCCAAGAGUCCACAUCGACGGGGAGGUUUGGCACCUCGAUGUCGGCUCAUCGCAUCCUGGGGCUGUAGUCGGUCCCAAGGGUUGGGCUGUUCGCCCAUUAAAGCGGUACGCGAGCUGGGUUCAGAACGUCGUGAGACAGUUCGGUCCCUAUCCGUCGUGGGCGCAGGAAAUUUGAGAGGAUCUGUCCUUAGUACGAGAGGACCGGGAUGGACAUACCUCUGGUGUACCAGUUGUUCUGCCAAGAGCACCGCUGGGUAGCUACGUAUGGAUUAGAUAAUCGCUGAAAGCAUCUAAGUGAGAAACUAACCUCGAGAUGAGAUUUCCCAUUCGUCAGAAGUAAGACCCCUGAGAGACGAUCAGGUAGAUAGGCUAGAAGUGGAAGUGUAGUGAUGCAUGGAGCGGACUAGUACUAAUAGGUCGAGGACUUAACCAAG
rnacentral:rRNA from 1 species